CCUCGAUUGGUGCAUUACUCCUACACAGGCAGCAAGGCAGGAGUGAUGAACCGUUUACCCCCAUUCGUGUGUUCUCCAAUCUUUACGCUACCCCAUGGCAGCAAUGAUGACCCGUGUGGAUCAGUAUAGCCGUAGGAAGGCUAACUGGUUCCCAGAGACGAGCCAGACAAUGAGUCACAUGGAGGCAUGCUGGAGUAGGUGAGAGGUGUGCUGUGUUUCAGUGGAAUGCAGAACCGGAUCCGCCUGAAUUCAGCCUCCAAGAAGGGCGCUGAUUUUGAAGGUGUAAGAGCUGGUGAGAUUGGGGGGAAAACUGGGAACUUCAGGACAGACUGGACAAAGAUCCAAGGUCCUAAGACUGAAGUUCUUGGCCAAGACCUUGCUGGGUUUGAGAGCUGGUAAGAAUGAGAGGACUGGAAACCAGCACAGACUGGACAAAGACCCUAAGACUGAAGGUCUUGGCCAGGACCUUGCUGGGUUUGAGACCUGGUUGAUUCAUGACUCAACAAAUCAGGAGAGUAUCUCUCCACGAUCCUGCUGACUGACAGCUGGUGAUCUAGUUUAUUUUAAAGGUGCGCCAACACCUUUUAUUCAGGUGUCACCACAGGCCAGAAAACUGCUGCCCUCGAGCUGGAAGGACAAACCUGAAGGAAGAAACUAUUUCAAAUGUAUAAUGGAGCUGUUAACUUGUAUUUGUUGAAUAAACAGCAAGUCUUUUUCUGAAUGGGCUGUUGUA